rnacentral:rRNA from 1 species
UACGGAGGGUGCGAGCGUUGUUCGGAAUUACUGGGCGUAAAGCGCGUGUAGGCGGCUAAGUAAGUCGGACGUGAAAUCCCUCGGCUCAACCGAGGACGUGCAUCCGAAACUGUUGUGCUCGAGUAUGGAAGAGGGUCGCGGAAUUCUCGGUGUAGAGGUGAAAUUCGUAGAUAUCGGGAGGAACACCAGUGGCGAAGGCGGCGACCUGGGCCAAUACUGACGCUGAGGUGCGAAAGCGUGGGGAGCAAACAGG